rnacentral:lncRNA from 1 species
CCUGAGCUGGUGGUAGGCAUUGAUGAGGGAGGUGAACUUUGGUGCUUCCAAGGGUUCCUUGGUCCAGGCCCUGUCUCCUGAGAGAUAAAUAUGAUUCCCAUCAUUCCCCUGCUUUAAAACCAACUUUGGGCCUUUACCACCCAUAGCCAAAAUCUAAAUUAUUGCAUAUAGGACACAAUAAUCUUAAGAAACUAGCUCCAAUGGAUCCACUCUUCUUUCUCAACAUUUGUGACUUGUUUGCCCCUAGGAUCCUACGCAUUCAGCCUCUGGUCUCCAGAACCCUCGCUGCCACAGCAAAGGCUCUCUUCCUGGCCCCACCAGCUCCACCGAUAAUGCCUGAAAUAUUAGUCCUACACAAUCUGGCGUGGUUGAAGAGGCCUCAGAGUGAGGGAGAGAGAUGGAGGCCUCUUGCUUGGAGGAGAUUUCAGGAGGCUCAGACCCUGGUGGCACCAGUAAAAGGAAGCCAACUAAGGUAACUUUUUUUUUUCCCCCAGUUUGUAAAUCCUCCUUGUGAAACUAGUAUAAUAGACGCUGUAUAAGAACUCUGCUGGAUUCCCCCUUCUGGAAUCUUCGGGGCGCCUGACAUAACCCUCACCCUCUGCAUGGUGGAGGGCAGAGAGGCGUCCCUCUGUGUGCUCCAACGCAACUUUCCACUGAAUCUGAGUUUGGGCUGCCUGAUUUGAAUGAAGGAUUGUUCAGUGUAGCCAGUGACCAGCAGAGCUGCCAGUUCCAACACUUAAAAAAUACAGUACGGCUUUUAAAGUGGAGUAGAAGGGCGUUGAAGCAAG